rnacentral:rRNA from 1 species
CGGGUGAGUAACGCGUGGGUAACCUGCCUCAUACAGGGGGAUAGCAGUUGGAAACGACUGGUAAAACCGCAUAAGCGCACGGUGUCGCAUGACACAGUGUGAAAACACUCCGGUGGUAUGAGAUGGACCCGCGUCUGAUUAGCUAGUUGGUGAGGUAACGGCCCACCAAGGCGACGAUCAGUAGCCGGCCUGAGAGGGUGAACGGCCACAUUGGGACUGAGACACGGCCCAAACUCC